rnacentral:lncRNA from 10 species
CUCAGACACUACAACAGAGCUCUGUCACCUCUUUCUAAAAGCUGGGAAAUGGUUAUUGUCAACGCCAGCCCCAUUUUGGAGGCACCUGGUUGCAGGGGACCACAGCUAGCUGGGUGCGGUGGCUCAGGACUGUAAUUCCAGCUACAUGAGAGGAUUGCCUGAGGCCAGGAGUUUGAGACCAGCCUGAACAACAUAAUAGACUGGGAGCUCCAUGAGGUCCGAGACAACCUGAAGACGCCCAGCUCAGCAGAGACUGGCUACGGCAAUCACUCAGUAACUAUUUGUUGAAUUGGACAUAAUAGAAGAGCUGAAGAAUUUUAAACAAGUCACCAUCAGUGCAGUGGAUUCCUCAAAGCAAACCUGGAAAUCUCGGCAUGAGUUGGAUUUAAGGCAGUACAUUUUCAGCUCCUGAAAAUUUGAACAGUUUCUCAAGAGAACAACUUGAAACAGAAAGGAUGACACUCCCUCGUUCUAAUACCAUCUGAAUGCCUGAGCAAUUACAUCUUACAACCUCAUGAAAAACACAGCAGCUUGUCACGAUGAAUGAUGUUACCGUGAAUAAUGCAGUUUUGAGUUCAAACUCCUUCUUAUUCCAAGAAUGAGUAAAUAUCCCUAUUCCCUCCCCUCCCCAUUGCAUUUGGGUUUGACAUGACAUGAAUCAUUGUGGUUUUACUCCUGGGUAGAAUUGUUUUUCUGUAUUGCAUUGCCAAUUGAUGGAAGGACAAAAAAAGGAAACUUACCAAUGAGCAGUUUCAGAUGAACUUAAAUUCUCAGAAAUCUUGAAGAAUGAAUGAACUAUAACUUUCUGAAGUUGCAAAAAUGUUCAAGUCGGAAGUGACCCAUGGGAAGCAACCUGGUCCUUAAUUAGGACUGGAAAGAAAACGGAGGCCCAGCGAGGGAACAGUGGCUUCCCCAAGGUCACACUGCAAGUGAGUGGUGGCACUAGUCACCCAGGAGUCCUCCUGACUCCAUGGUAUCCUGACCCCAGACCAGCAGCCUUAUUUGUGGUUAAAGAACGUGGAAAAACAGCUUAUGUUUGAAUUUUAAAAUCAUGCCAGUACUAAAGAUCUGCAUUCCAUGAAUAUUGAGCUUUGCUGUGUGCGGGUUGCUACGAAUUUUGUAACUAUUUUCUCUAAGAGCUCUCAGUAUUUUACAUAUACAAUUCCAUUCUUUAUUGUCCAGGGAAAAAGUUGCAUUUACUGAGCAGUAAGAGGGUGAUUUGAAGUCCCUGGGGUCCCCCACCCUUGUCUUUCUAUGUGAGAUUGUAUUGCAGGGCUCACAUUUAUUCUCUCAGCAGCUCAUUGCACAGACAGUGUAUUUAUUGAGCACCUACUGUGUGCCAGGAGCUAUGUGGUAAGCUAAGCAGACAAAAACUCCUGCUCUCACAAGAAGAAAGAAUAAACAAGCAGACAAUUGCACCUAUAAUGUCAGCCUGGUGUGAUGGCUCACUCCUGGAAUCCUAGCACUUUGGGAGGUGACGAUGGGAGGAUUGCUUUAACUCGGGAGUUCAAGAUAAGCCUGGGCAACCAAGACCCUGUCUCUACAAAAAAAUCAAAAAAUUAGCUGGGGGUGAUGGCAUGAGUCUCUGGUCCCUCGGGACCAGAGGCCUCGGGAGGCUGAGGCGGGUUUAUCACUUGAGCCUGGGAGGUUGAGGCUGCAGUGAGCUGUGAUCACACCACUGCACUCCAGCCUGGGCCACAGAGCGAGACCCUGUCUCUAAAUAAACAAACAACCUAAUGUCAAGUUAGGAAGUGUGGCAAAAAGGAACAAAGUCAGGGUGACUGCCAUUCUAGAAAGGGUGGUGAGGGAAGGUCUCCUUGAGCAGAUCCUGUGGGAGUGGAAGGGUAAGUCACGAGACUCUCUGGAGGAAGAAGAUUCCAGGUGGAAAUGCCUUAGUGGGUGUUAAACGCUUUAACGGGUGUUAGCCAGAAAGCCAGAAUGGCUGGAGCUGAGGGAGUAGAGGAGGCGGCAUAGAAAAUGAGGUCAGAGAUGGAGGCAGGGCCGGAUCACAGAGGGGCACAGAGAACGAGGAGGGAAUUGGAUUUUUGGAAAAGAUUGUGGCAAAAUACAAAAUAUAAAAUACAAAAAUAAAAUAUAAACCAUAAAAUGUACUACCUUUACCAUUUUAAGUAUGCAGUUCAGUAGUGUUAAAUACAUUUACAUCAUUGUUCAACCCGUCUCCAGAACUCUCUGCAUCUUGCAAAAUUAAAACUCUAUGCCAUUUCAACAGUUCGCAUUUCCUCUUCCCUCUCGUUCAUGGCAACCGCCAUUUUUCUUUCUGUCUCUGUAAAUGUUAGUACUUGGGGUAUCUCAUCUAAGUGGAAUCACACAGUGUGUGUCCUUUUGUGACAGACUUAUUUCACUUUGCAUAAUGUCCUUAAUAUUCAUCCAUGUUGUAGCAUGUGUCAGAUUUUCCUUCCUUCUUAACAUUGUGUAAUAUUCCAUUGUACGCAUAGACUACAUUUAGCUUAUCUGUUCACCUGUGGAUGGACACUUGGGUUGCUAUAGUGAAUAAUAUUGCUGUAAAUAUGGGUAUACGAUUAUCUCUUUGUGACCCUGCUUUUAAUUGUUUUGGAUAUAUACCCA